rnacentral:rRNA from 1 species
CAAUAGCGUAUAUUAAAGUUGUUGCAGUUAAAAAGCUCGUAGUUGAAUUUUUGCUUGCCGCCGAUGUCGGAACUUCCGUACGUUCGGCGGCGUGCAUCCUUGGGUGGAACCUGUGUGGCAUUAGGUUGUCGUGCAGGGGAUGCUCAUCGUUUACUGUGAAAAAAUUAGAGUGUUCAAAGCAGGCUUACGCCGUUGAAUAUAUUAGCAUGGAAUAAUAAGAUAGGACCUCGGUACUAUUUUGUUGGUUUGCGCACCGAGGUAAUGAUUAACAGGGACAGUUGGGGGUAUUCGUAUUCCAUUGUCAGAGGUGAAAUUCUUGGAUUUCUGGAAGACGAACUACUGCGAAAGCAUUUACCAAGGAUGUUUUCAUUAA